AAAUUGUUCGGAGAGGAAAACGGAAAGAGAGAAUGGAGAAGGAUGAAGAUGUCGUCAACGCGUCAAGAAGAAGGAGGCAGACAUUCCCGGCCCGUCGCAACAAUCGCAGUCGAUAAUGAUUAAGUUGUGAUUGAGGCAGAAGAUAGG
ensembl:ncRNA K02B9.7 ncRNA